rnacentral:misc_RNA from 1 species
AGUUAAGUUGAGUUGAGUUGAGUAUUGAAGGAUCCAUGUUACAUGCACACACACACAUACACAGAGUCAUGUCGUGUUUCAGUUGGCGGGAUCUGUCUAAUGUCCUCAAAUUGACAUGGCAUGGUAUAAUUGUCAGCCCUAGUUUUUUAAUAGGAUUGUGUACUUGACACUUAGAGGCUCAUUCCACAAUGAGGUGAAUACUGAAUUUGAUCUCUUUUGUAGAAUGAUGAUCAGACCUUUGCCAGGAAAAGAAAUUUGCUGCAUGGACAUUUAUGUAGCAUGCUAUUUACACGGUCUUCAUCUUCUUUUACUCUGCAUUUUGUCCUGUAGUUAAAUAGGAUUAUCUGUGUUAUAUCCUCAUUGUAUCUUUUUUGGCCAUUAUCCUACUCAGUUGCAUGCCUCAACUCAAGGUGUGCUUGUUGAAACUCAAAAAAUAUCUGUAUUACGGUCAAAGCUAUGAAUUUCUAAAGUUGUGAUCAAUAUGGCAGGUUGGAACACAUUGUU